rnacentral:tRNA from 1 species
GGUAGUAUAGCUCAAUGGUAGAGUGCUUGCCCAGUAAGCAUGAGGCCCUGGGUCCCAUCCCCAGCACCACAA